AUACCAGAGCCCCAAGCGUUAUCCGGAAUUACUGGGCGUAAAGGGUGCGUAGGUGGCUGUGUUAGUCUGUCGUUAAAGACCGGUGCUCAACAUCGGGACGGCGAUGGAAACGGGACAGCUCGAGUAUGCAAGAGGUAAGCGGAACUCUACGGUGUAGGGGUGAAAUCCGUUGAUAUCGAGGGGAACACCAAAAGCGAAGGCAGCUUACUGGUGCAUUACUGACACUGAGGCACGAAACCCAGGGUAGCGAAGGGGAUUAGAUACCCCCGUAGUCCUGUGGCCUAAACGAUGCAGAUUAGCUUUUUCGGAGUAUCGACCCUCUGAGAGGCGUAGCUAACGCGUUAAAUCUGCCGCCUGGGAAGUACGAGCGCAAGCUUAAAACUCAAAGGAUAGACGGGGACUCGCACGAGCGGUGGAUCAUGUGGCUUAAUUCGACGAUAACCGAAGAACCUUACCAAGACUAGAUAUCCAGUU
rnacentral:rRNA from 1 species